rnacentral:rRNA from 1 species
UACGUAGGGUGCGAGCGUUGUCCGGAAUUAUUGGGCGUAAAGCGUGCGUAGGUGGUUUGUUAAGUCUGAUGUGAAAGCCCUGGGCUCAACCUGGGAAUUGCAUUGGAUACUGGCAGGCUAGAGUGCGGUAGAGGGUAGUGGAAUUCCCGGUGUAGCAGUGAAAUGCGUAGAUAUCAGGAGGAACACCGGUGGUGUAGACGGCUAUCUGGACCGUAACUGACGCUGAGGCACGAAAGCGUGGGUAGCAAACAGG